rnacentral:misc_RNA from 1 species
GAUGAAGAACGCAGCGAAAUGCGAUAAGUAAUGUGAAUUGCAGAAUUCAGUGAAUCAUCGAGUCUUUGAACGCACAUUGCGCCCCCUGGUAUUCCGGGGGGCAUGCCUGUCCGAGCGUCAUUGCUGCCCUCAAGCACGGCUUGUGUGUUGGGCCCCCGUCCCCGCUUUCCCCCGGGGACGGGCCCGAAAGGCAGCGGCGGCACCGCGUCCGGUCCUCGAGCGUAUGGGGCUUUGUCACCCGCUCUGUAGGCCCGGCCGGCGCCAGCCGACACCCAACUUUAUUUCUAAGGUUGACCUCGGAUCAGGUAGGGAUACCCGCUGAACUUAAGCAUAUCAAUAAGCGGAGGA